AAAUUAUUUUUCUAUUAACAUCUUAUUUUUCCCCCUCUGAAAGCUUACCAUUAUCUGGGUUGAUUUUGUGUGGAUUGGAUUCAUGCUGGCUCUACCGAUCAUUGUGUACUUAUUUCUGGCCUCCCCAUCCUUAAUUGCAGUUUCAUGAUGGCUAAAAUGACAUUUUCACAUAUCAUGAACAACCUUUAUGCAGGUCUGGAAGAGGGUGGAGAUUGAAUGCCAACAACAUUUUGAGAUUGUGACAUCAUUGUUUGUGCCCGAAGUUCUGUAACUGAAAUAUGGUCUGAGUAUAGGAUUGGGAACCAUGUAUUAUUUGCAUCUACUGAUGAUCAUGUAAGGUGUAA